rnacentral:tRNA from 1 species
AUUUAAAUAGUUUAAUUAAAAAUAUUGAUUUGUGGAGUCAGUGAUGUAAAUUUUUACUUUAGAUA